GACUGCUCAAUGCACCCUUAAAAGGUGUGAAUGGAUGACUAGGGGAAAAGGAAACGUGUGCGAAUAUGUGGCCGUUGAGAAGGUGUUGUAAGAGCUGUGUGGGACCAGUGUCUCCUGGCACCAUGUGUGUGUGUGUGAGAACAGAAUGCUAAUUAACCACCAGGCUUCAAGUGGGCAGGAGGCGACUCAUUAGCACUGCUGCAUCCAUAUCUGCGCUAAGCUGCCAUCGAGCUCCAUGGCUCUGGGUGCCAUCCAGCUUCUAGAUGCCCCCAGGUGCGAAGAAAUGGAGACGUAUAAUGAGCACACAGUCUCGGCAUGAAGUCUCUCUGUUCAUCUCAUAUUAGGCACCCUCAUGAUUGAUCUCCGAAAGGUCUGUUCGAUCGGUCACAAUCGGGAACCGUCCAUCCAUCUGCUGAGGAUGUUGGCCCCGGGCCCAGAAGUCAACAAAUUGGCCCGUGGGAACAGGGUGACCUCCACACUGAAUGCCAGCGAAUGCACCGACACGUCGUCCCCGGCGAUAUGACAGUGGAAAACAUCACAUUCGAAUAGGAUAGCCAAACAACAUCCUGUGGUUAAAGAUGAUUAGCUAAAAUCAGGCUACGGACCAUGACAGUAGCUUUGUUUCACAACCUAGUCAGUGUGAUGAAGUUGAGCCUUGUAAGUAAUUGGAAACACUCUACAUAUGAAGGAACUAGCAAGAAGUGUAUGAACAAAAGAAAGUUUGCAAAGAAAGGAAGAUGGGAGGAUCGAGAGACAAAAAGAGAAAAUGCACGAUCACUUUGUCAUCUAUUGAAGCUCAUGCAAACACUGCCGAUCGGGGUCAGACACUCGGAUGAGACGAGAACUUCCCGCUAAUCAUCAUCACAAUCAUCAUCAUCAUCUGAAGACUGACCUGGAGGAAACACUCUGAUUGGUAAGAACAUCUAUAUUCCUACAGUUUUGUGUAACACAGUUAGCACUGCAUGAGUUAUUCAAACCUGUGAAAGUGUGAACGUGAAAAAUGUGCAGUGAAUAAUUCUGAACAUACGGUUAAGAAAAACAUCUAUUGCAAUGCCACGUGCUUUUGUACUUGAAUGUAUUUUUAGAAUACUACUAACUGUGCUAUAUGCAUAAAGUUUAUUUACUUAUUUAAUAUUAGAAUGAUUUCUAAAUGAUCAUGUGAUAGACUGGAUGUUACAUGUGACACUGAAGGCUGGAGUAAUGAUGCUGAAAAUUCAGCUUUGCAUCACAGGAAUAAAUAAUUUUUUUUUAAAGUAUAUUCA
ensembl:lncRNA